rnacentral:rRNA from 1 species
CGAAAGCGUGGGGAUCAAACAGGAUUAGAUNCCNUGGUAGUCCACGCAGUAAACGAUGAUAACUAGCUGUUUGCGAUACACAGUAAGCGGCACAGCGAAAGCGUUAAGUUAUCCACCUGGGGAGUACGCCGGCAACGGUGAAACUCAAAGGAAUUGACGGGGGCCCGCACAAGCGGAGGAACAUGUGGUUUAAUUCGAUGAUACGCGAGGAACCUUACCUGGGCUUAAAUUGCAGUGGAAUAACGUGGAAACAUGUUAGCCUUCGGGCCGCUGUGAAGGUGCUGCAUGGUUGUCGUCAGCUCGUGCCGUGAGGUGUCGGCUUAAGUGCCAUAACGAGCGCAACCCUCAUCGAUAGUUACUAACAGGUUAAGCUGAGGACUCUAUCGAGACUGCCGACGUAAGUCGUGAGGAAGGUGGGGAUGACGUCAAAUCAGCACGGCCCUUACGUCCAGGGCUACACACGUGUUACAAUGGGGGGUACAAAGGGCAGCUACCUGGCGACAGGAUGCUAAUCUCAAAAACCUCUCUCAGUUCGGAUUGGAGUCUGCAACCCGACUCCAUGAAGCUGGAUUCGCUAGUAAUCGCGCAUCAGCCACGGCGCGGUGAAUACGUUCCCGGGCCUUGUACACACCGCCCGUCAAGCCAUGGGAGCCGGGGGGACCUGAAGUAUGCAACCGUAAGGAGCGUCCUAGGGUAAAACUGGUGACUGGGGCU